AAAAAUAGAAGGUGCAUUAAGAAAAAAUAAAAUUUAUUUAUUAUAUGGUAAGAAUUUAAAAACUGUUCAUGUUGAAAAUGGAAUACAGUACUACCUGGAUUUGAAAAAAUGUAUGUUUUGUUUGGGUAAUGGAACUGAAAAAGAAAGAAUCGUUAAUAGUAUAUUGUUUAAGAAUUGGUGUAGAAAGAAAAAAGCUGGCAGUAAUGACACUAACAGUAAUAAUAUACAAAAAGAAAAUAUAGUUGAUUUAUUUUGUGGAGCAGGUUAUUUUACAUUACCAAUAUUAAAAUAUGUAGGAAACAAAUAUAUAAAUAAAUAUUUUGCAAUAGAUAUAAAUAAGGAUUCAUUGAGUUUUUUAAAAAAAAGUAUAAAAUUAAAUAAAAUAAAAAAAGAAAAUGUAUAUAUUUUAAAAAGUAACUCUUUUUUAGUGACUAAAAAUGUAAAUAUUGUUAAACAGUGUCAUAGAGUUUUGUUAGGUUUAUUACCGAAUAGUAAAAAAGCUUGGAGUAAUGCUUUUAAUAUGAUAAGUGACGUAGAAGGUGGUAUAUUACAUAUUCAUGGAAUAGGAAAAGAAAUAUAUAAAAAUGAAUUUUCUCAUUUUUUAUGUACAUCAGAUUAUGUAAAGCUAUAUGGCUACAAACAUAUCAACUCCAAUGUAUCUAUCUACUUUUUAAAUUAUAUAAAAAUGGAAAAAGAGUUAGAGGAUCCAGGAUAUGCAAAGAUUACUUAUAAUAAAGGUUUAAAAGGAUGUAUGUAUAGUAAUGGAAACAAGACAAGCGGCAUUGGAAAUGGUCGGGAGUGUAUAAGGGGGAUAUGUAUUUGUAGUGAUAAUAGUAAUAACAACAUGAGUGGUUUGUGUCAUAAUCAUAAUAGUAAUUACAACAGCAACGAAAACACUGGAGAGGUACAUUUGAAAAAAAAAAAAUAUAUUCCUAUGAGUUUAGAAUUCGCUCAAUAUGUUUUACUUGAAAUAUUUAAAAUAGCUAUAAAAGAUCAAGAAAUAAAUAAAAAAGGAUGGAAAAUAAAUUUAAUACAUGUUGAGAAGGUUAAGUCGUAUGGACCACGUGUUUAUCAC
rnacentral:lncRNA from 1 species